GAUGAACGCUGGCGGCGUGCCUAAUACAUGCCAGUCGAGCGAACGGACGAGAAGCUUGCUUUUCUGAUGUUAGCGGCGGACGGGUGAGUAACACGUGGAUAACCUACCUAUAAGACUGGGAUAACUUCGGGAAACCGGAGCUAAUACCGGAUAAUAUUUUGAACCGCAUGGUUCAAAAGUGAAAGACGGUCUUGCUGUCACUUAUAGAUGGAUCCGCGCUGCAUUAGCUAGUUGGUAAGGUAACGGCUUACCAAGGCAACGAUGCAUAGCCGACCUGAGAGGGUGAUCGGCCACACUGGAACUGAGACACGGUCCAGACUCCUACGGGAGGCAGCAGUAGGGAAUCUUCCGCAAUGGGCGAAAGCCUGACGGAGCAACGCCGCGUGAGUGAUGAAGGUCUUCGGAUCGUAAAGCUCUGUUAUUAGGGAAGAACAUAUGUGUAAGUAACUGUGCACAUCUUGACGGUACCUAAUCAGAAAGCCACGGCUAACUACGUG
rnacentral:rRNA from 1 species